GGGCUGGGGCUCAGUGGCAGAGCACUUGCCUAGCAUGUGUGAGGCACUGGGUUCAAUCCUCAGCACCACA
rnacentral:tRNA from 1 species